rnacentral:rRNA from 1 species
CAUGCAAGUCGAACGUGAAAUUUAUUUUGCGUGGCGAACGGGUGAGUAACACGUAUUUAAUUUACCUCUAUGUGGGGAAUAACCGAUAGAAAUGUUGGAUAAUACCGCAUAUGUUUUUUUAACACAUGUUAAAAAAAUGAAAGGAUCGUUUUGGUCCGCAUAGAAAUAAGAAUGCGGCGUAUUAGUUAGUUGGUGAGGUAAUGGCUCACCAAGACAAUGAUGCGUAGCUGGUCUGAGAGGACGCACGGCCACAUUGGGACUGAGAUACGGCCCAAACUUCUACGGAAGGCAGCAGUAGGGAAUAUUCCACAAUGGACGAAAGUCUGAUGGAGCGACAUCGCGUGAUCGAUGAAGGCCUAAGGGUUGUAAAGAUCUUUUGUAAAUCAGGAAAAUUUAUUUUGAAAAGAAAUGAACUUGACAUUAGUUUACGAAUAAGUCACGGCUAACUACGUGCCAGCAGUCGCGGUAAUACGUAGGUGGCAAGCGUUAUCCGGAAUUAUUGGGUGUAAAGCGUGUGCAGAUGGUUUAAUAAGUUUAAGGUUAAAGGCAAGUGCUCAACACUUGUUUGCCUUAAAAACUGUUUUACUAGAGUAUAGGAGAGGUUACGGGAAUUCCAUGUGUAACGGUGGAAUGUGUAGAUAUAUGGAGGAACACCAUUAGCGAAGGCGCGUAACUGGAAUAUCACUGACAUUCAGACACGAAAGCGUAGGGGGCAAAUAGGAUUAGAUACCCUAGUAGUCUACGCUGUAAACGAUGGACGUUAAACGUUGGAAUUAAUUCAGCGUUAUAGUUAACACAUUAAACGUCCCACCUGGGUAGUACGUUCGCAAGAAUAAAACUCAAAGGAAUUGACG